GACGGGUGAGUAACGCGUGGGGAUGUGCCCUUUGCUACGGAAUAGUCCCGGGAAACUGGGUUUAAUACCGUAUGAGCCCUUCGGGGGAAAGAUUUAUCGGCAAAGGAUCAACCCGCGUUGGAUUAGGUAGUUGGUGGGGUAAUGGCCUACCAAGCCGACGAUCCAUAGCUGGUUUGAGAGGAUGAUCAGCCACACUGGGACUGAGACACGGCCCAGACUCCUACGGGAGGCAGCAGUGGGGAAUCUUAGACAAUGGGGGCAACCCUGAUCUAGCCAUGCCGCGUGAACGAUGAAGGCCUUAGGGUUGUAAAGUUCUUUCAGCUGGGAAGAUAAUGACGGUACCAGCAGAAGAAGCCCCGGCUAACUCCGUGCCAGCAGCCGCGGUAAUACGGAGGGGGCUAGCGUUGUUCGGAAUUACUGGGCGUAAAGCGCACGUAGGCGGACUAUUAAGUCAGGGGUGAAAUCCCGGGGCUCAACCCCGGAACUGCCUCUGAUACUGGUAGUCUUGAGUUCGAGAGAGGUGAGUGGAAUUCCGAGUGUAGAGGUGAAAUUCGUAGAUAUUCGGAGGAACACCAGUGGCGAAGGCGGCUCACUGGCUCGAUACUGACGCUGAG
rnacentral:rRNA from 1 species